CCUUGCUUCACUUUAUUCUCCCCCCCGCCGCCGCCUCCGGCCAGCUCCUUGUCGCCGCUGCCGUGGUUGUUAUUGCGGCCGCCGUCGGGGGGUUCGCUGGGGGCCGCCGGCUGCUGGGCCCCCUUCCCCGGCUCCUCCAGGGCGCCCUCAGAGCGGGUGCACAGACCCCGCGCCGGGCCCGGACCGCGGCGAGUAGCGGGGCCGGCACCCAGGGCGGCGAGCUGCGGCGGGAGGCGCCUGGAGCCGGAGCCGGGCCCGCCGCCGCCGGCCGCCCCCGGCGGGCCGAGCAGCAGCAGCUCCCGCAACAGCGCCGCCCGCCACAGCCGCAUCAUGCUGCACCUCCG
rnacentral:lncRNA from 1 species